rnacentral:rRNA from 1 species
CAAGUCGAACGGCAGCACGGGAGCAAUCCUGGUGGCGAGUGGCGAACGGGUGAGUAAUAUAUCGGAACGUGCCCAGUCGUGGGGGAUAACUACUCGAAAGAGUGGCUAAUACCGCAUACGAUCUCUGGAUGAAAGCGGGGGACCUUCGGGCCUCGCGCGAUUGGAGCGGCCGAUAUCAGAUUAGGUAGUUGGUAGGGUAAAAGCCUACCAAGCCUACGAUCUGUAGCUGGUCGGAGAGGACGACCAGCCACACUGGAACUGAGACACGGUCCAGACUCCUACGGGAGGCAGCAGUGGGGAAUUUUGGACAAUGGGCGAAAGCCUGAUCCAGCAAUGCCGCGUGCAGGACGAAGGCCUUCGGGUUGUAAACUGCUUUUGUACGGAACGAAAAGGUAGCUCCUAAUACGAGCUGCCGAUGACGGUACCGUAAGAAUAAGCACCGGCUAACUACGUGCCAGCAGCCGCGGUAAUACGUAGGGUGCAAGCGUUAAUCGGAAUUACUGGGCGUAAAGCGUGCGCAGGCGGUUUUGUAAGAUAGAUGUGAAAUCCCCGGGCUCAACCUGGGAACUGCAUAUAUGACUGCAAAGCUAGAGUACGGUAGAGGGGGAUGGAAUUCCGCGUGUAGCAGUGAAAUGCGUAGAUAUGCGGAGGAACACCGAUGGCGAAGGCAAUCCCCUGGACCUGUACUGACGCUCAUGCACGAAAGCGUGGGGAGCAAACAGGAUUAGAUACCCUGGUAGUCCACGCCCUAAACGAUGUCAACUGGUUGUUGGGUCUUUACUGACUCAGUAACGUAGCUAACGCGUGAAGUUGACCGCCUGGGGAGUACGGGCCGCAAGGUUGAAACUCAAAGGAAUUGACGG